rnacentral:ncRNA from 1 species
UGUCUGUGAAGAUGCGGACUACCUGCACUUGGAUAGAAAGACCCUAUGAAGCUUCACUGUUCCCUGGGAUUGGCUUUAGGCCUUUCCUGCACAGCUUAGGUGGAAGGCGAAAAAGGCCCCCUUCCGCGGGGGGGGGGGGGGGGGGGGG